rfam:Deltaproteobacteria bacterium RBG_16_49_23 RBG_16_scaffold_190, whole genome shotgun sequence.
GGGAGGGCGACCGACCGUCUGCAGGAAGCCGGAGCGCAAACGUGCGAGCCGACGGACAGAAACCGCAUACAAGGCUUAGCCCCUGGGCGAGUUGGCACAACACAACAAAGCCCGCAGGUUCAGGGGGCAGGAAUGUCAAGAAAAAAAACACU